rnacentral:rRNA from 1 species
UACGUAGGGGGCAAGCGUUGUCCGGAUUUAUUGGGCGUAAAGAGCGUGUAGGCGGCCAGACAGGUCCGUUGUGAAAACUCGAGGCUCAACCUCGAGACGCCGAUGGAAACCGUCUGGCUAGAGUCCGGAAGAGGAGAGUGGAAUUCCUGGUGUGAGCGGUGAAAUGCGCAGAGUAUCAGGAAGAACACCCGUGGCUAAGGCGGCUCUCUAGUACGGUACUGACGCUGAGACGCGAAAGCGUGGGGAGCGAACAGG